AACGGUCUAUACCUGCGGUACCUGCGGAAGGAUCAUUACAUGAUUUGAGGGGGCUCACGUCCCCUCAUCCAACCCACAAGCCCCGAGGAACUUUUAUGUCGAGUGGUUCGGCGCUCUCUUUGAGAGCCGCCCCUCAAACGCAUCGCAGGCUUUUCGUGAAGGUCUGAUGUGUCACAUCGUGAGUAUUAAAACUUUCAACAACGGAUCUCU
rnacentral:misc_RNA from 1 species